UAAGUUCUUUCAAAUGGAUUGAAUGUUAAUGUAUUUUGAAAUUUGUUUCUGCAUUAUAGUAGGUACUUCAGACAUAUCUGGCCUAUACGUAUGGCCUGUAUGUAUUUUACCUAUUGCAAAAGUAUGUCGAUAUCAUAAAUUUCUUAAUAGUUAUAACAAAUCUCACUUGUUUCUAUUAGUAGCUAAUUAUAAAAGAAAAUAAAUUACAAAUAUGCUAUAAUAAAGUUACAAUAUUUAUACUUGUUAACCUAUCAUUAUUGGUAAAGGUUUAAAAAUGUAUUUCGAAAUUUUUUGCCUGAUGCCUUUGUGACCUUUACAAGCGACUGAUAUAACACCGCAAUGCCACACCAUAAAAUCGUGAUCGUGAUUGACAUCGAAUCGUCGCAUCAUCGUUAUGUAAAUCUAAGUACUUUAGAUCGUACACACCUCUUGCAGGACAAGCCAAUAGCGCGCACGUGAUAAAAAUCCUGAAGCAUGCUUAAUUCCGACUAACUCGACCGAUAAACGUUAUUGAAAGAAGUAUUAUUCACGGAAAUAAUCUUGGCAAUGUUGAUCAAUGGUUGAUCAAUGGUUCAACAUACUAUGACAAUACAUAACAAAUACGUAUACUUUGACAAACCUCCUCAUCGAUAAUGUAUGGAAAGAAAUUUAUUUUUAGAAGGAAAAAGGAAUGAAUUUAGAAACCAAAUAUAUUUACCACCAUCGUCUAAUGUAACUAUUGGAGAAAUAAAAUAGAAGAGAUUGAUCAAGAAAAGAAGCUUAGUCAAUAAUAGUUGUUAUCAAACAUUAUGCGACUCGUUAGUGACAUUGUCACGUUUUCUGAGUGCACGAAUAACUUUGUGUCCUACGCAUGCAUAGCAUACAUUGCAGGUGAACCUUCUAGAGCUGAACGCACGCAAACACGUUUGUAUGUACUUUAAGUUACGAGCCUAGACGGAGAGAAGUCACAGAAAUAGCUUGUGAUUCAAUAUUUAGGCAGCACUGAUCUGCCACAGCACAUUUAGCACAAAUAAUCACGUGGGAUCCUAUCCAGUCCUUCCAAUUAAAAAUCGAUAAUCUGAUGCUUGAUAAGAGCAGUUCGACACCAUUUACUCGUUAUACCACAUUUAUUUUCACUAACGACGAGAUUGUGAAAGUGUUUGCAUAGAAUGGAUAGAAACCCAAUUGCACUAGUUGUGUGAAAGAUGAAUGAUAACAAAAUUACUCAACUAAAUAAUAGAUUUUACAUUUUUAAGGUGAACCUUUACAAAGCUACUAUUAAUGCAUUCGUAAAGUAUACCAUGAAAUAUAAUAUAUAUAAUUAAAUCAUGUUAAAUAUGGUAGGAUGAAAUUAAUAACGAUUAUUUCAAAUAGCGAGUAUUGCGAGAAUAUAAAGAAAAUAUAGUAAUAGCGAGAGUAUGUAAAAAAAGGUUAUAGAUAUUACAGAUGAUUACGACGUUAUUCGCGUGAAGGUUAAGCACUAUAGGCUCAUAGGAGUCAUGUGAAAUAAAUUCAAAGUUGUAGAAGAAACUGAGAAUUAAUAUGGGUCCUCAAAUUAGAUCAGCAAAUUUGAGGUUUCUAAAAUUUCAAAGCUAGCGUCAAGAAACUGCAAAUUAAAGAUUCGCAGCGUCGAAGUGCUCUUUUCAAAUAAAUCUGGAUGACGCCUACGAGUUUGGAUUAACUUACUGCCGAUUUGCGACCCGUAGUUUCAAAGCGAGUUUACAUGGUUUGUACGACUUUGUAAUCUACAAUCACGAAAUGCUACUAACUCUUAAACAAGGUGGUCCAUAUAUUUGAAUUGAUUUGGUGCUUCUUAAGAUCCUACAAAUUUGUUCGCUUAUACUUCUCAAAUAAAAGGAAAGUUAAAGGAGAUUGAUAUAAAAUUGACUCCGUUAUGUCGCUGUAAAUAUAAAUUUAUUGAAGUCUUAAAGUGCUUACGUCGAACAAAAACAUAGAGCAAACUAAACAAUUUAAGUACACCUAUAUCUUGUCAAUAAAUUCGCCGUAUAAAUAUUAUUUUACAUCUAUGUGAAUUGCGAUGAAUUUAUUUAUGAUGUAUUAAUGUACGUUUAUGUAUAAUCUAUAUACAAAUUGAUUUAACGCAGUAUACACAUGUAAAUAUACAUACACAAUUGGUUGUAGAAAAUAUGAUGUUUCUUAAUGAAUGUUUUUAUUCGAAGACAAUUUUUAUAUCUAUUUUUACGCAAGCCCUCUUGAUACUCGAAUUUUGUACUUUUUUUUUGUAUUUUUAUGUAAUGCGCUUAUUUUAAUAUCAUCGAGAAGUUCGUGAUAACGAUGAAAAUUCUGUUUACUCUAUACAUGCAUGAAUGUCUUUUAUUGUACUCUUUAUUGCGCUUUGUUUAGGGAAACCUAUAAUAAUCAGAUAAACGAAAACAUGUAUACUGGGCGAUAACAUUACGUGCUAAGAAAAAUGUUAGGGCAUAAUCUAAUAAUUUUAAAAUCAAUGAUAGCUUACAUUAUAUUUACAU